CCCUUAGAUGUUCUGGGCCGCACGCGUGCUACACUGAGUAAAUCGAUGGGUAAGGGAACACGAAAGUGCAACCUAAUCUUGAAAUUUGCUCGUGAUGGGGAUCGACGGUUGCAAUUUUCCGUCGUGAACGAGGAAUACCUUGUAGGCGCGUGUCAUCAUCACGCGCCGAAUACGUCCCUGCCCUUUGUACACACCGCCCGUCGCUCCUACCGAUUGAGUGAUCCGGUGAGGCUCUGGGACCUGGACGGAAAGAGCGUUUCGCUUGUUCUGUUUGGGAAACUUGGUCGAACCUUAUCAUUUAGAGGAAGGAGAAGUCGUAACA
rnacentral:rRNA from 1 species